rnacentral:rRNA from 1 species
UACGUAGGGGGCAAGCGUUGUCCGGAAUCAUUGGGCGUAAAGGGCGCGUAGGCGGCUUUAUAAGUCGGGGGUGAAAGCCUGUGGCUCAACCACAGAAUUGCCUUCGAUACUGUAGAGCUUGAGACCGGAAGAGGUUAGUGGAACUGCGAGUGUAGAGGUGAAAUUCGUAGAUAUUCGCAAGAACACCAGUGGCGAAGGCGGCUCACUGGCCCGAUACUGACGCUGAGGCACGAAAGCGUGGGGAGCAAACAGG